GCACUUUGAAUAAACAUUUAUUUCACUUUACAUUUAAUUCAAGGGCACAGAGCCCAAUAAUGCAGCAAAUCAACUCAAACACUGACAUGCCAGGAUCCAUAUUAUUCAAUCUUUUCCUUGAGUCUUCUGGAAUACAUGGCAUUAAGGGACAAGAACCCAGCUGGGGUGUGAUGAGCAGUAGCGCAUCUUAGUAGAGAGCAUUUCCAGCAGGAUGGAAUCUAGAGAACAUUCCUGUAAACAUCAACAAACAAGACUCAAUUAAAAAAAAUUACAAGAGGUUUCAGUAUAAAUGUGACCAUAUUGCAAACAAGUGUCUCAGGUCUUCUAGUCAGAUUGUUGUAGAUUGAGACUACGUCAAACUGUGCCAAAGUCCUGUGUUACUCUCCCAAGGAAAAGAGAUCACCAAAGAGGAAAAAGCCUCUGUUGUGAUUUUGAGUACAGCUUGGGUUAAAAUAAAACAUGUCAGUGGUCAUGCGCAUUACCUUUCAAUAAAUUCCAGACAUCAGAACCGGGUAAAGCAGCAUCAUGCACCUGUGGAAGACAAAACAAAUGAGCCAUCUAGACACAAUACAGUACAAGUCCAUCAGGAAAUGUAAUGCGCUCAGGGUUCCGAAGGUUCUUCACUAGACAUUCAGUAGGUGAUAAGUAAUCAUCACUGCACAGCACUUGAGUGUUUCACUAUAAAUAACAUUUCCUCACCGAUAGUCCAGCAGCAUACCAGAAGAUCAGCAUGACCUCCUGAAAGUUAGAGACCAAAUUAGUACCAAUAGUAGACAUUAGCAACCAUUAAAGCCAUUUUAAAGUGUGCUCAGAGGUUAAAAGUCUUCACCAACAGUAAGAAAGCUGGGUUAAAGCUAUAAAGCUUUCAUCAGCGCACAGGCCGAUGUACAUGCUAAUACAAUUAGAAAUCACUGAAGUACCUUACCUUGCUUUGACAUCCACUGCAGCAAGAGACCAAGUAUCACCAUUCCAUGUAAAUUCCUGGAAAAGUGGAGAAAGUUAAUGAGCAACAUGCGGCCCACAUAAAAAGAACCCAUAAUGACUCAGUAGUGCUCAGGGUUCCGAAGGUUCUUCACUAGACAUUCAGUAGGUGAUAAGUAAUCAUCACUGCACAGGACAUGUGUAGCUCACAGGGUUAGGCCACCCAAACGCACCUUUAAUUAGAGGAGUCAGGAUUUUUCUGAAAAGCAAACAUUAAACAUCAGUUAGUGUAGUAUGGACAUACUUGACAAUAAGUCACUACAAGCUGUGCUCAGAUUUUGAAAGUCUUCACCAACAGUAAGAAAGCUGGGUUAAAGCUAUCAAGCUCUCAUCAGUGCACAGCCCGAUCAGCAUGAAGCACUUUAGAUGUAAGGUGUGCAUUACCUGUCAACUUAGGGCAUAAAAACCAGAGACUCAACACCCUGAUACAUGGUCUUCAUUUCUGUGGAGGACAAAGGAAACAUGAGCCAAACAGACACGAAAAGGUAGCAGUAUGCCAUUAAAGAGUGGUGCUCAGGGUUCCGAAGAUUCUUCACAAAACAUUAAGUAGGUGAUUAAAAAAACUCAUCACAGCACAUUUGCCAUUUACCUAUACAAUUCCACGCUCUUACCUUCAAAGAUGGUAUCACAGCAUCAUGUAAUAAGCAUGAUUCCUGAAAAUCAAAGACACCCUAUUAGAAAAACAUUUGAAUAGGUUUUAGCACUAACCCCCAAUAACCUUUAAAAAAAUAAAAGGCCAACUUGAGCAGCUGUACAAAGUGUGCUCAGAGUUUAAUAGUCUUCACCAACAGUAAGAAAGCUGGGUUAAAGCUUUAAAGCUCUCAUCACUGCACAGUAAAAUGGUAUUGUGAUUAACAGCCUCACCUUUGAUCUUUCAAUUUCAACCAAAUGGUAGCGGCCUCACAGCCUCCAUUACACCUAAAACAGGAAGAACUUGGUGAGCCAUAUUUACACAUUUAAAAAAAGGUAGACCUAAAGGCAUUACACAAUGUGCUCAGAGUUAGAACAUAAUGUCUUCACCAACAGUAAGAAAGCUGGGUUAAAGCUAUAAAGCUCUCAUCAGUGCACAAUGCAAGUUUAUAGCAUUGAGCUGCAAGUCAUCCAAAGCAUUCUUACCUUCAACAUAACAGCAAAUUCUUAUUUGGCCAAUUAGAGGAUGUGUCCUGAAAUAACAUGGAUGGGUUUAGACAUUACAGUAUGAAAAUACAUUAAGAUGUAAUAACAGGAAGGGGUGCUCAGUGUUUUCUGAAUGUUCUUCACCAUACAAUAAGAAUGAUGUGUUAAAUAAUCAUCAUGGCACUGAACAUAUUCCCCACAAAAGAAAGAAACAUUACCUUUAGACGCCGUCAUUCACUUUAUCAGCAGGCCUUCCUGAAAUGAAUGGGAUUUAGGUCAACAACUAGUUACAAGUAAAUACAUAAGAAAAGGCAUUUUAAUUAAAUCUGUAUGUCCUUAGACUAUGGCGGUGAACACAGUGUGAACACAGCCAACUCUCAGAAGGGCAAAGCUCUGCUAAAGCGAAGUAUCAACAGCCACUAAAACAGUGUCUGCUGGACCAGGCCACAUGAGCAGAGCGUUCCUCUCCCAGCAGUGUAACACUAGCUCAGGCACGGGCGGGCCUGUACAGCUGACUACCGCUGGGUUUAUAAAAAAUAAAAUGAAAAACAAAAUAAACUGUAGUCAUUCAAAUCAAACUUGGUACUUUAGACUUACAUCGAAAGGGAUUUCCCCCCGCUUGCAGUCCUCCCAUGUCUGGUCGACAAACAUGGUUGCAAAAUCUAUGGAGGAAAGUAAGCAUGAGUUAAAUUGCAUUAAACUUGUUGUAUACCGGUUAGCCAAAUUUGCUAACCAGGCCGAGGUGUUUUUUAAAAGUACCUCGUGUCAUAGCGGCCUUGCACGUGUCACUAACAGGCCUGUUAACGAACAUCGCAGACAAGCCUCUACCAAGCAGUACAUUGAAAGUAGCGCAAAAUAGACGAUCAAAUAAUGUGAACAAGCUACUGUGAUUUUAAUUUCAAGACCCUCAAUCUGUUAGCAUUUAGAUAAUACGGUACUACUAGCAAUCUAGAGCAUGGAUAGAAAAUUUAAAAAAAAUCUACGUGAAGCUGAAGUUCCAAUCGAUCUAGUUAAUAGUCAUUCCAACCUACCUAAACCGCGAGUCCCACAUGGUUUUAACACACACAUACACCAUUAGUGCUUUUAAUGCCAGCGCUUACCAUAGACGAAAACCCAACACGUCACUACUCCUCUUCCCAUUUCUUGUAAGAGAGCGAUA
ensembl:lncRNA